rnacentral:sRNA from 1 species
CGGUGCCUCUCCCUUCAAAAGCAAGGGACCUUUAUGCAUGAUUCCACAUCUGCAUUCCGAUAGGAAAGGGAAACAGCAGAAACACAAUACCCAUCUGAGAGCUACGCUUAGAGAGGACUCUGGGCUUUUAUUUAUUUUUUUACUUCAGUCUUGUGACCAGUAAUUUUAAGGGAAAGCCAAUAAUAAUGUUUUUAAAAAGCCUCACGCCACCCCUGGCGGCAUCUCCUCGGUGUACUUUGCUGUUCAGAUCCGCCUGCCUUCUGUGCCAGCCUAAUACCGCCCGGCCUCAGCCCCCAUUGUCCCUGGCGCUGGCGAGGUGUCCGGUUGCGGAGCCGGCUGCGUCUCUGGAAAUGCAUCCUGCAUCCCCGCAUGGAUAACAGCUGCAGCUAUGUCAGAAUUGCACAAAGAGGGGAGAGUGUCAUUGUGUGCCUUUUGACACAUACGUUAAGACCAAAAAGGAAAAAAAGCGUCCAUCUGUGCUGCCACCGACCAGACUCAUGGAGGCCAGAUUUUCUCCAAUUAACCAGAUCUUGCCCUGGUGCAGACAAGACUUAGCCAUCAGCAUCAGCAAAGCCAUCAACACCCAGGAGGCCCCCGUGAAGGAGAAGCACGCCCGGCGCAUCAUUCUGGGCACACACCACGAGAAGGGGGCUUUCACCUUCUGGUCCUACGCCAUUGGGCUGCCGCUGCCCAGCAGCUCCAUUCUCAGCUGGAAGUUCUGCCACGUCCUCCACAAGGUCCUUCGAGACGGGCACCCCAAUGUGCUGCAUGACUGCCAGCGGUACCGCAGCAACAUCCGGGAGAUUGGAGACCUGUGGGGACAUUUGCAUGACCGCUACGGACAGCUGGUGAAUGUCUACACCAAGCUGCUGCUGACCAAGAUCUCCUUCCACCUCAAGCAUCCCCAGUUUCCCGCGGGCCUGGAGGUGACAGACGAGGUACUGGAGAAGGCAGCUGGGACCGAUGUCAACAACAUCUUCCAGCUCACUGUGGAGAUGUUUGAUUACAUGGAUUGUGAGCUGAAGCUUUCUGAAUCAGUUUUCCGACAGCUCAACACGGCCAUCGCCGUAUCCCAGAUGUCCUCAGGCCAGUGCCGCCUGGCCCCCCUCAUCCAGGUCAUCCAGGACUGCAGCCACCUCUACCACUACACGGUCAAGCUCCUGUUCAAGCUACACUCUUGUCUCCCUGCGGACACCCUGCAAGGCCACAGGGACCGGUUCCACGAGCAGUUUCACAGCCUCAGGAACUUCUUCCGCAGAGCCUCCGACAUGCUGUACUUCAAGCGGCUCAUCCAGAUCCCCCGGCUGCCCGAGGGACCCCCUAACUUCCUGCGGGCCUCAGCCCUGGCUGAGCACAUCAAGCCGGUGGUGGUGAUCCCCGAGGAGGCCCCGGAGGAUGAGGAGCCGGAGAAUCUCAUUGAGAUCAGCACAGGGCCCCCCGUGGGGGAGCCAGUGGUGGUGGCUGACCUCUUCGAUCAGACGUUUGGACCCCCCAAUGGCUCUGUGAAGGACGACAGGGACCUCCAGAUUGAGAGCUUGAAGAGAGAGGUGGAAAUGCUCCGCUCUGAACUGGAGAAGAUCAAGCUGGAGGUGCCGGGGUGGGGAUGGGUGGGGGCCAGGGCCCCUCACGGCCCAGGCAGGGCCCCACGUCACACCUCCUCCCGCAGGCCCAGCGGUACAUCGCGCAGCUGAAGAGCCAGGUGAAUGCACUGGAGGGUGAGCUGGAGGAGCAGCGGAAGCAGAAGCAGAAGGCCCUGGUGGAUAAUGAGCAGCUCCGCCACGAGCUGGCCCAGCUGAGGGCUGCCCAGCUGGAGGGCGAGCGGAGCCAGGGCCUGCGUGAGGAGGCUGAGAGGAAGGCCAGUGCCACAGAGGCGCGCUACAACAAGCUGAAGGAAAAGCACAGUGAGCUCGUCCAUGUGCAUGCGGAGCUGCUCAGAAAGAACGCGGACACAGCCAAGCAGCUGACGGUGACGCAGCAAAGCCAGGAGGAGGUGGCGCGGGUGAAGGAGCAGCUGGCCUUCCAGGUGGAGCAGGUGAAGCGGGAGUCGGAGUUGAAGGUAUGUCCCUUGUGGCACAGGGCCCUGCCCCGGCAUCCCCAGCCCACUGCCCCAGUGACACGCUGUCCUGUCCCAGCUAGAGGAGCAGAGCGACCAGCUGGAGAAGCUCAAGAGGGAGCUGGAGGCCAAGGCUGGAGAGCUGGCCCGCGCACAGGAGGCCCUGAGCCACACAGAGCAGAGCAAGUCGGAGCUGAGCUCACGGCUGGACACGCUGAGUGCGGAGAAGGAUGCUCUGAGUGGAGCUGUGCGGCAGCGGGAGGCAGACCUGCUGGCGGCGCAGAGCCUGGUGCGCGAGACAGAGGCGGCGCUGAGCCGGGAGCAGCAGCGCAGCUCCCAGGAGCAGGGCGAGUUGCAGGGCCAGCUGGCAGAGAGGGUAUGGCCUCCCCAGAUGCAGCAGCACUACUGAGUUCACUGCCAUCUGGCAACCAUCGAUCUGUCUCCGUGAUCUGCCUGUUCUAGAGAUUUCAUGUAAAGGGGAUCAUACACGAUGCAUCCUUUUGUGUCCGGCUUCUUCACUCAGCAUCACGUUGUCAAGGGUCACCACAUCAUAGCCUGUGUCAGCACCUCAUUCCUUUUAUGGCUGAGUCGUACUCUGCCGUGUGGACAGACCACAUUGUGUUUAUCUGUUCAUCACUUGGUGGACGUUGGGUUUGUUGCAACUUUCUGGCUGUUGUAAAUAGUGCUGCUGUGGGCCUUUGAGCACAAGUUUCUGUGUAAACAUCUGCCAUCACUUAUCUUGGAUAGAUAGCUGAUGUGUGUGGAACACAGUAGAACUGCUGGGUCUCACCUCUGUUACCCUGUUGAGAAACUACCAGACUGUUUUCCAAAGUGGCUGCACCAUUUUACACUCCCACCAGCAACGCAUGAAUGUUCCAGUUUCUCCACAUCCUUGCCAAUGCUUAUUAUUGUCUUCUUUUCAUUUUAGCCAUCCUAGUGGGUGUGGAGUGGUUUCUCACUGUCUUGAUUUGUGUUUCCCUGAUAGCAAAGGGUGCUACAUAUCUUUUCAUGAGCUACCUGGCCAUUUGUGUAUCUUUGGAGAAAUGUCUUUUAGGACCUUGAGCUCACGUUUUAAUUGGGUUAUCUUUUUAUUAUUGAGCUGUGCACUGUGGGAAGCCUCUUUCUAGAAAUCUCCACCCCCCUGACCAGUGAGGGUCUCAGCUGGGCUCCAACUGG